rnacentral:rRNA from 1 species
CAAAGUACUUUGAAGAGAGAGUUAACAGAACGUGAAACCGGUGGGGUGGAAACGGAUAGAGCCGAUGUUCUUACCCGCAUUCAGCAGAUCGGUGGUUGGUUCCAGUAGCGUGUUCUGUUCGAACUGCGCGAACGCCCAGCAAACAUCGAUUUGUGCACUUGUGGGCAGAGAGCGCUGAGAGGCGUCCCACGGUGAUUGCUGGAGAUUUGGGUAGCGGGCACUUCGUGUUCCAACCCAUCGUUCAACGGCUUUCACAGGGACGUCACUGAAUGGAAGGCUCAUCCCGAUCGCUUGCUGUCCAUUUUCGGCAUCACAUAGUCGUUUGCAUGCAUUCGCUGUGGUGACGCAAUGGUGGCGUUUGACCUCUUGGGUCUUUCUCUCGGCGUUAAGUUGGUCACCUAUCCGACCCGUCUUGAAACACGGACCAAGGAGUUUAGCGUAUACGCGAGUCAAUGGGACAGUCAAACCCAAAGGCGAAAUGAAAGUGAAUUCCACCCAGUGGAAGAGGUGCGAUCCCCUCAAUGAGGCGGAGCAGCAUCGCCCUGUGCUGAUCACUCGUGAUGGUACGGAGGCAGAGCGUAUGCGAUGAGACCCGAAAGAUGGUGAACUAUUCCCGAGCAGGACGAAGCCGGAGGAAACUCCGGUGGAAGUCCGUAGCGGUUCUGACGUGCAAAUCGAUCGU